UUAGUUGCCAUCAUUCAGUUGGGCACUCUAGCGAGACUGCCGGUAAUAAACCGGAGGAAGGUGGGGAGUGACGUCAAAUCAUCAUGCCCCUUAUGACCUGGGCUACACACGUGCUACAAUGGUUGGUACAACGAGUUGCGAGUCGGUGACGGCGAGCUAAUCUCUUAAAGCCAAUCUCAGUUCGGAUUGUAGGCUGCAACUCGCCUACAUGAAGCCGGAAUCGCUAGUAAUCGCGGAUCAGCAUGCCGCGGUGAAUACGUUCCCGGGCCUU
rnacentral:rRNA from 1 species